GAUGAACGCUGGCGGCGUGCCUAAUACAUGCAAGUCGAGCGAAGCGGGGACGGGUGAGUAACACGUGGAUAACCUCCUAUAAGACUGGGAUAACUUCGGGAAACCGGAGCUAAACCGGAUACUUAUAUCUGGAUCCGCGCUGCAUUAGCUAGUUGGUAAGGUAACGGCUUCCCAAGGCAACGAUGCAUAGCCGACCUGAGAGGGUGACCGGCCACACUGGAACUGAGACACGGUCCAGACUCCUACGUGUGGCAGCAGUAGGGAAUCUUCGGCAAUGGGCGAAAGCCUGACAGAGCAACGCCGCGUGAGUUAUGAAGGUCUUCGGAUCGUAAAACUCUGUUAUUAGGUAAGCGGUACCUAAUCAGUAAGCCACGGCUAACUACGUGCCAGCAGCCGCGGUAAUAC
rnacentral:rRNA from 1 species